rnacentral:lncRNA from 1 species
ACUCACUCAAUCAGUCCACAAAGAUGGAGCAUUUAUUCUGGGCCAGACUCUGAUCUAGGCUCCACAGAUACAGCCCCAAACAAGAUAGACUGCUUCAUUAUGGUCCUAGAACUUUCAGUCUUGUUGGACAACAGAACCCCCAAAAAGGUAUUAAGAAAGAAAGAACAUAAAGAGUCAGUAAGAUAACUGCAGAUGGCGGUGAGUGGUAAAAAAUGAAGAAGAGUGAGGCUGGCUCAGCCGUUAAGCAGGUCCUCUGGGAGCGUUUGCACUGAGCUGGGGCCUGAAGGAUGAGGAAGAGACAGUGGUGGCUGGAGCUGAAGAGACAGACGUCCAGGCACAGGGAACAGUAAGUGGAAAGGCCCUGAGGCGAGAACAUGAUUGGAUUUGCAAAGAACAGAAAGGAGGGCAGACCUCUUCCUGGAAUCAGUUCAGCUCUUAGAACCCCCCAUGGGUGGCUGAUGGACAAAGCAAUAAAGCUGACUGCAUCCUGCUCCUUCCCAUGCCGUGGGGCCCUUUGCUGCUGGGGACCUGAAAGUAUUACAAAGCUCCCUGUGGAAGAGGUAGAGUCAGCAAUGGAAGCAGUUUGGGUCUGGACGUGGAAGCUGCCUGCCCACUCGGCACACCCACGUUGGACGAUUAGAUCAGCAAACAGCGGCUUAGAGUGUGAGUAAAUAUUUCCAAAGUACAACAGUCGGUGGUGAGCUUGUGAAGGAAUCGUGGCUUUCAAACUCUGAGACUAAUGCUUCUUCAGUUCACCAGGCUACGUCACCUGCUACCUGAGAGCAGUCAUUGUGGAAGCCUUCCCAUCUGCCUCUUGGUAAGGACUCUGAGGACCAAGACAAAGCUGUCCCCUGACCAAGGACAUUAUGUCACAUCUAGAAGGGAAGUCAACUGGGUCUUGAAUUAGGCUACCAGGACUGGAACUCCACCUCCGCUGCUCACCAGCCGUGUGACUCAGCACACAUUUAUGAGACUUUUUGUGUCUGUUUCCUAAUCCUUAAAAAAGGGGAUAACACUCAAGCCCAACUCACAGGGUUUUGUGAAUAUUAAAGGAAGUAGAAAAUGUUUGCUCAGUGCCAAAAACAAACAAACAAAAAAAAGUCAAUGUGUGUAUACGUUUUCUCACUCUAUUUGGAGCUAAUAUUAUAUUUAGUUACUAAUUUCUUUAGCGUAAAACCACCCAGAAUGAAACACGGAAGUUCUUAUGAAAGGCAAGAGUGAACACCUGUGAGCAUGAGUAUUCAUACACCAAAGAAGAGUUUUCAUACCAUACUUGUAACAUACCAAAGAAGACUGGAUAAUCCAAGAGAACAUCAAGAAAUGGCUCAUCAUAUUUGUUUUUCAAACAAAUGGAGAUUCAGAAUUAAGAAAUGAGACAAGAACAAAGAUGAAAAAUUAUACUCAACUGCUGUGAAGUCCAGUUCUCUAUUAGUAACUAGCUAUCCCAGAG